rnacentral:rRNA from 1 species
GAUGAACGCUGGCGGCGUGCCUAAUACAUGCAAGUCGAGCGAACUUUUGGGAGCUUGCUCCCAAAAGUUAGCGGCGGACGGGUGAGUAACACGUGGGUAACCUGCCUGUAAGACUGGGAUAACUUCGGGAAACCGGAGCUAAUACCGGAUAACAUUGCAGACUACAUGGUCUUCAAUUAAAAGGUGGCUUUUAGCUACCACUUACAGAUGGACCCGCGGCGCAUGAGCUAGUUGGUGAGGUAACGGCGCACCAAGGCGACGUUGCGUAGCCGACCGGAGAGGGCGGGCGGCCGCACUGGGACGGUGACACGCCCCAGACGCCUACAGGAGGCGGCAGGAGGGCAUCGGCCGGAAGGGGCGGGGGUCUUUCGGAACUGGGCGGCGUGAGCGAGGAAGGCCGUCGGGUCGGGAAGCACGGUUGUUGGGGAAGAACAAGUAUCGUUCUGAGAGGGCGGUACCUUGACGGUACCGGGCCAGGAAGCCACGGCUAACUACGUG